rnacentral:rRNA from 1 species
UUUAAGCUUCCUACGGGAGGCUGCAGUGGGGAAUCUUGCGCAAUGGGUGAAAGCCUGACGCAGCCAUGCCGCGUGAAUGAUGAAGGUCUUAGGAUUGUAAAAUUCUUUCACCGGGGACGAUAAUGACGGUACCCGGAGAAGAAGCCCCGGCUAACUUCGUGCCAGCAGCCGCGGUAAUACGAAGGGGGCUAGCGUUGCUCGGAAUUACUGGGCGUAAAGGGAGCGUAGGCGGACAUUUAAGUCAGGGGUGAAAUCCCGGGGCUCAACCUCGGAAUUGCCUUUGAUACUGGGUGUCUUGAGUAUGAGAGAGGUGUGUGGAACUCCGAGUGUAGAGGUGAAAUUCGUAGAUAUUCGGAAGAACACCAGUGGCGAAGGCGACACACUGGCUCAUUACUGACGCUGAGGCUCGAAAGCGUGGGGAGCAAACAGGAUUAGAUACCCUUGUAGUCGAAUUCU